AGCGAACGCUGGCGGCAGGCCUAACACAUGCAAGUCGAACGAACUCUUCGGAGUUAGUGGCGGACGGGUGAGUAACACGUGGGAACGUGCCUUUUGGUUCGGAAUAACUCAGGGAAACUUGUGCUAAUACCGAAUGUGCCCUUCGGGGGAAAGAUUUAUCGCCAUUAGAGCGGCCCGCGUCUGAUUAGCUAGUUGGUGAGGUAACGGCUCACCAAGGCGACGAUCAGUAGCUGGUCUGAGAGGAUGACCAGCCACACUGGGACUGAGACACGGCCCAGACUCCUACGGGAAGCAGCAGUGGGGAAUCUUGCGCAAUGGGCGAAAGCCUGACGCAGCCAUGCCGCGUGAAUGAUGAAGGUCUUAGGAUUGUAAAAUUCCUUCACCGGGGACGAUAAUGACGGUACCCGGAGAAGAAGCCCCGGCUAACUUCGUG
rnacentral:rRNA from 1 species